rnacentral:pre_miRNA from 2 species
GGCGCCGCCGAGCCUUGCUCGCCGGGGCUGCGUGCCGCCAUAGCUGGCGCGCAUCCCCGUCGAGCGUUGCUCGACGGUGCC